AGCAUGUUAGCUCAGGGGAAGAGCGCCGGGCUCAUAACCCGGAGGUACGAUUAUCCUUUCACCAGCCAAUUACAAUCCGAUUCCUAACAGCAAAAUAGGUCCCUGGAUCGAAACCAGGACAUGCUA
rnacentral:tRNA from 2 species